rnacentral:tRNA from 9 species
GCAGGCGUGGCGGAACGGCAGACGCGCUGUCUUCAGGCGGCAGUUUCUUUGAAGUGUGGGUUCAAAUCCCAUCGCCUGCA